AUUGAACGCUGGCGGCAGGCCUAACACAUGCAAGUCGAGCGAGCGGCGGACGGGUGAGUAAUGUCUGGGAAAAUGCCUGAUGGCGGGGGAUAACUACUGGAAACGGUAGCUAAUACCGCAUACCAUCAGAUGUGCCCAGAUGGGAUUGGCUAGUAGGUGGGGUAACGGCGCACCUAGGCGACGAUCCCUAGCUGGUCUGAGAGGAUGACCAGCCACACUGGAACGGAGACACGGUCCAGACUCCUACGGGAGGCAGCAGUGGGGAAUAUUGCACAAUGGGCGAAAGCCGGAUGCAGCCAGGCCGCGUGUGUGAAGAAGGCCUUCGGGUUGUAAAGCACUGUCAGCGGGGAGGCGUUACCCGCAGAAGAAGCAACGGCUAACUCCGUGCCAGCCGCCGCGGUAAUUC
rnacentral:rRNA from 1 species